rnacentral:rRNA from 1 species
CCUACGGGAGGCAGCAGUAAGGAAUAUUGGUCAAUGGAGGCAACUCUGAACCAGCCAUGCCGCGUGCAGGAAGAAGGCCCUAUGGGUCGUAAACUGCUUUUGUACCAGAGAAAACCACAGUACGUGUACUGUGUUGAUAGUAUGGUAAGAAUAAGCAUCGGCUAACUUCGUGCCAGCAGCCGCGGUAAGACGAAGGAUGCAAGCGUUAUCCGGAUUCAUUGGGUUUAAAGGGUGCGUAGGCGGACUGAUAAGUCAGUGGUGAAAUCUCUCAGCUUAACUGAGAAACUGCCAUUGAUACUGUUAGUCUAGAGUAUAGAUGACGUUGGCGGAAUAUGACAUGUAGUGGUGAAAUACUUAGAUAUGUCAUAGAACACCGAUUGCGAAGGCAGCUAACGAAACUAUAACUGACGCUGAGGCACGAAAGUGCGGGGAUCAAACAGGAUUAGAUACCCUGGUAGUCCGCACCGUAAACGAUGAUUACUCGUUGUUGGCAAUAUGACCGUCAGCGACCAAGCGAAAGCGAUAAGUAAUCCACCUUGGGGAGUUACGCCGGCAACGGUUGAAACGUUAANGAAUUGACGGCUUGAGACGNGCGACGGACGACGACGAGGAGGUAGG